rnacentral:rRNA from 1 species
UACGAGGGGGGCGAGCGUUGUUCGGAAUUAUUGGGCGUAAAGGGUGCGUAGGCGGUUUGGUAAGUCUUGUGUGAAAUCUUCGGGCUCAACUCGAAGUCUGCACGAGAAACUGCCGGGCUUGAGUAUGGGAGAGGUGAGUGGAAUUCCUGGUGUAGCGGUGAAAUGCGUAGAUAUCAGGAGGAACACCUGUGGCGAAAGCGGCUCACUGGACCAUAACUGACGCUGAUGCACGAAAGCUAGGGGAGCAAACAGG